AGUGAACGCUGGCGGUAGGCCUAACACAUGCAAGUCGAACGGCAGCACAGUAAGAGCUUGCUCUUACGGGUGGCGAGUGUCGGACGGGUGAGGAAUACAUCGGAAUCUACUUUUUCGUGGGGGAUAACGUAGGGAAACUUACGCUAAUACCGCAUACGACCUACGGGUGAAAGCAGGGGAUCUUCGGACCUUGCGCGAUUGAAUGAGCCUAUGUUGGAUUAGCUAGUUGGCGGGGUAGAGGCCCACCAAGGCGACGAUCCGUAGCUGGUCUGAGAGGAUGAUCAGCCAGACUGGAAGUGAGACACGGUCCAGACUCCUACGGGAGGAAGCAGUGCGGAAUAUUGGACGAUGGGCGAAAGCGUGAUCCAGCAAUACGACGUGGGUGAAGAAGGACUUCGGGUUGUAAAGCCCUGUUGUUGGGAAAGAAAAGCAGCAGGUUAAUACCCCGCUGUUCUGACGGUACCCAAAGAAUAAGCACCGGCUAACUUCGUG
rnacentral:rRNA from 1 species